UACGGGGGGGGGCGAGCGUUGUUCGGAAUUACUGGGCGUAAAGGGUUUGUAGGUGGUCUGCUAAGUCAGACGUGAAAUCCCUCAGCUCAACUGUGGGCGUGCGGGCGAUACGGGCAGACUUGAGUACUGCAGGGGAGACUGGAAUUCCUGGUGUAGCGGUGGAAUGCGCAGAUAUCAGGAGGAACACCGGUGGCGAAGGCGGGUCUCUGGGCAGUAACUGACGCUGAGGAGCGAAAGCGUGGGGAGCGAACAGG
rnacentral:rRNA from 1 species